UUUCAGAAAGAAUCCACCCAGGCAGAAGUGGACAAGUACAAAGAGCUGUAUCUGGUGGAAGCCCAAACCAGAAAAAGCCUCGCCAAGAAACUGGAAAGAGCUACUGAGAGACUUGCAGUGGCCAACACCAAGCUCUUUUUGGAGCGCCACAGAAGCAGAUCUGCGGUCCCAAGCAGCGCUGUCAGCGGAGUUCUGGCUGCAAGUCCACUUCUGGAUUCACCUGGCCUGGGACAUGUUGGCAUCAGUUUGGGACUGAGCAGAAGUCUGGCUCUCAGAACACCACCCAGACACCUGUGGUAAAGCCCAAGACUUCUGCUCAUCAGGACAUCCUGUAAGGGACCGUUCAGAUGGAUGGAACAAAUUGCUUCCUUUCCUUAAUUUCGACAUCCACAGCCU